GAGUCAAACUCUUUGAACUAUGGACCCUUUGAAAAGUUGUUUGAAUUGCUGCACCUUAACAGAACACAAACAGCUUUCCUGCUAACACUCAUGACUGCAAUGGCACCAGAUGAGAGGGAAGGUGACUCGGAACAUAACAAUAUAAUACUUCUUUAAGCAUUCCUCCCAAGAGUAUUUUCUAAAGCCAUGAACUCAGCUCAGCAAUUACUACGGUCUCAGAGAGACUUGCUGCUGAACUGGACCCGUGAGCACCCAGCACCGUUGCUGCGUUGGCUGCGUGAUACUGAGGUGCUUUCAUCUGCCCAAUACCUGUCUCUGCUGGAGAGGUCCCCUUCCAAUGCCGUGGCCCAGGCUCUAGAGACCGUGUGUGCCACUGAGGAGAGAAGCCAAAAAUUCCUGCAGGUGCUGAGAGACGUGCAGGAUUAUUACUGCAAGGAUUUGCAGGUCUGGGUGGAGACACACUGCAAGAACGAUGCUGUCAGUACGCCAGUGCCUACACCUGUGAAAGGUGAUAUUGCUUUAAUAAACUGUUGAUGACUGUG